rnacentral:rRNA from 1 species
GCUGGCGACCGGCGCACGGGUGAGUAACACGUAUCCAACCUACCCUUUACUCGGGGAUAGCCUUUCGAAAGAAAGAUUAAUACCCGAUAGCAUAAUGAUUCCGCAUGGUUUCAUUAUUAAAGGAUUCCGGUAAAGGAUGGGGAUGCGUUCCAUUAGGUUGUUGGUGAGGUAACGGCCCACUAAGCCUUCGAUGGAUAGGGGUUCUGAGAGGAAGGUCCCCCACAUUGGAACUGAGACACGGUCCAAACUCCUACGGGAGGCAGCAUG